GACGAACGCUGGCGGCGUGCCUAAUACAUGCAAGUAGAACGCUGAAGCGAGGAGCUUGCUCUUCUUGGGUGAGUUGCGAACGGGUGAGUAACGCGUAGGUAACCUGCCUUGUAGCGGGGGAUAACUAUUGGAAACGAUAGCUAAUACCGCAUAACAAUGGAUGACCCAUGUCGUUUAUUUGAAAGGGGCAAAUGCUCCACUACAAGAUGGAACUGCGUUGGAUUAGCUGGUAGGUGAGGUAACGGCUCAACUAGGCGACGAUACAUUGCCGAACUGAGAGGGUGGUCGGCCAACCUGGGAGUGAGACCAGGCCCAGACCCCCAGGGGAGGCAGCCGGAGGGAAUCUUCGGCCAUGGGGGGAAAACUGACCGCACAACGCCGAAUGCGUGAAGAAGGUUUUCGGAUCGUAAAGCUCUGUUGUAAGUCAAGAAACAGUGUGAGACUGGAAAGUUCACACUGUGACGGUAGCUUACCAGAAAGGGACGGCUAACUACGUG
rnacentral:rRNA from 1 species